UACGUAGGGUGCAAGCGUUGUCCGGAAUUAUUGGGCGUAAAGAGCUCGUAGGCGGUCUGUCGCGUCGGCUGUGAAAACCCGGGGCUCAACCCCGGGCCUGCAGUCGAUACGGGCAGACUAGAGUGCGGUAGGGGAGACUGGAGUUCCUGGUGUAGCGGUGAAAUGCGCAGAUAUCAGGAGGAACACCAAUGGCGAAGGCAGAUCUCUGGGCCGUAACUGACGCUGAGGAGCGAAAGCAUGGGGAGCGAACAGG
rnacentral:rRNA from 1 species